rnacentral:rRNA from 1 species
UCCUACGGGGGGCAGCAGUGGGGAAUAUUGCACAAUGGGCGCAAGCCUGAUGCAGCGACGCCGCGUGCGGGAUGACGGCCUUCGGGUUGUAAACCGCUUUCAGCAGGGAAGAAGCUUUUGUGACGGUACCUGCAGAAGAAGCGCCGGCUAACUACGUGCCAGCAGCCGCGGUAAUACGUAGGGCGCGAGCGUUAUCCGGAAUUAUUGGGCGUAAAGAGCUCGUAGGCGGUUUGUCGCGUCUGCUGUGAAAGCGCGGGGCUGAACUGCGGGUGGGCAGGGGGGACGGGCAGACUGGAGUGCAGUAGGGGAGACUGGAAUUCCUGGUGUAGCGGUGAAAUGCGCAGAUAUCAGGAGGAACACCGAUGGCGAAGGCAGGUCUCUGGGCUGUUACUGACGCUGAGGAGCGAAAGCAUGGGGAGCGAACAGGAUUAGAUACCCUGGUAGUCCU